rnacentral:tRNA from 1 species
GCCCCCGUAGCUCAGUUGGAUAGAGCAUUCGCCUCCUAAGCGAAGGGCCACAGGUUCAAAUCCUGUCGGGGGUACCA